GACGAACGCUGGCGGCGUGCCUAAUACAUGCAAGUUGAGCGCUGAAGGUUGGUACUUGUACCAACUGGAUGAGCAGCGAACGGGUGAGUAACGCGUGGGGAAUCUGCCUUUGAGCGGGGGACAACAUUUGGAAACGAAUGCUAAUACCGCAUAAAAGCUUUAAACACAAGUUUUAAGUUUGAAAGAUGCAAUUGCAUCACUCAAAGAUGAUCCCGCGUUGUAUUAGCUAGUAGGUGAGGUAAAGGCUCACCAAGGCGAUGAUACAUAGCCGACCUGAGAGUGUGAUCGGCCACAUUGGGACUGAGAAACGGCCCAAACUCCUACGGGAGGCAGCAGUAGGGAAUCUUCGGCAAUGGACGAAAGUCUGACCGAGCAACGCCGCGUGAGUGAAGAAGGUUUUCGGAUCGUAAAACUCUGUUGGUAGAGAAGAACGUUGGUGAGAGUGGAAAGCUCAUCAAGUGACGGUAACUACCCAGAAAGGGACGGCUAACUACGUGCCAGCCGCCGCGGUAA
rnacentral:rRNA from 1 species